rnacentral:snRNA from 1 species
UCCAGCGAAACCACAGCCA